rnacentral:rRNA from 1 species
UACGGAGGAUCCACGCGUUAUCCGGAUUCAUUGGGUUUAAAGGGUGCGUAGGCGGAAUGAUAAGUCAGUGGUGAAAGCCCUCAGCUUAACUGAGGAACUGCCAUUGAUACUGUCAAUCUUGAGUACAUUUGAUGUGGGCGGAAUGUGUCAUGUAGCGGUGAAAUGCUUAGAUAUGACACAGAACACCGAUUGCGAAGGCAGCUCGCAAAACUGUUACUGACGCUGAGGCACGAAAGCGUGGGUAUCAAACGGG